UACGUAGGGGGCAAGCGUUAUCCGGAUUUACUGGGUGUAAAGGGAGCGUAGACGGCGGUGCAAGUCUGAAGUGAAAGGCAUGGGCUCAACCUGUGGACUGCUUUGGAAACUGUGCUGCUAGAGUGUCGGAGAGGCAAGUGGAAUUCCUAGUGUAGCGGUGAAAUGCGUAGAUAUUAGGAGGAACACCAGUGGCGAAGGCGGCUUGCUGGACGAUGACUGACGUUGAGGCUCGAAAGCGUGGGGAGCAAACA
rnacentral:rRNA from 1 species